CCUACGGGUGGCAGCAGUGGGGAAUAUUGCGCAAUGGGCGAAAGCCUGACGCAGCGACGCCGCGUGAGGGAUGAAGGUCUUCGGAUCGUAAACCUCUGUCAGCAGGGAAGAACGGUCACUGUGCUAAUCAGCAGUGAAUUGACGGUACCUGCAAAGGAAGCACCGGCCAACUCCGUGCCAGCAGCCGCGGUAAUAGGGAGGGUGGUAGCGUUGAUCGGGAUUACUGGGCGUAAAGCGCUCGUAGGCGGUAUGUCAAGUCAAGGGGGAAAUCCCCGCGCUCAACGCGGGAACUGCCGUUGAAACUGGCAAACUGGAGUGUGUGAGAGGAUAGCGGAAUGCCAGGUGUAGGAGUGAAAUCCGUAGAUAUCUGGAGGAACAUCAGUGGCGAAGGCGACUAUCUGGCACAUAACUGACGCUGAGGAGCGAAAGCGUGGGUAGCAAACAGGAUUAGAUACCCUGGUAGUC
rnacentral:rRNA from 1 species